rnacentral:rRNA from 1 species
GACGAACGCUGGCGGCGUGCUUAACACAUGCAAGUCGAACGGAAAGGCCCCUUUGGGGGUACUCGAGUGGCGAACGGGUGAGUAACACGUGAGUAACCUGCCCUUGACUUCGGGAUAACUUCAGGAAACUGGGGCUAAUACCGGAUGGGAAUCCUCGCUGCAUGGUGGGGGUUGGAAAGCUUCGGCGGUUUUGGAUGGACUCGCGGCUUAUCAGCUUGUUGGUGGGGUAGUGGCUUACCAAGGCUUUGACGGGUAGCCGGCCUGAGAGGGCGACCGGCCACAUUGGGACUGAGAUACGGCCCAGACUCCUACGGGAGGCAGCAGUGGGGAAUAUUGCACAAUGGGCGGAAGCCUGAUGCAGCAACGCCGCGUGCGGGAUGACGGCCUUCGGGUUGUAAACCGCUUUCAGCAGGGGCGAAGCUUGUGGUGACGGUACCUGCAGAAGAAGCACCGGCUAACUACGUG